GUACACCUUUUAAAGAAUUUCCUAAGGAAUCUUCAUCCCAACAUUACAAUCUUAUUACUUUCAAGUUCCCACGUAAUAUUUAUAACAAAUAAGAUAUAAUAUUUAUCAAAUUAUUGGGAUAACCAGCAAAAUUUAACCAAAAAAUUUAAGUCAAAUAGAUAUAAUGAGAUUCAAAAACCUUAAUAUAUAGAGAUAUGAACAUAACUCGGAAUUAAGAAGGCAUCAAUUUCAAUGGUAGAAGAAAUGAGAAAGGAAGGAAGGGGUGGCGGCAGAGAGGGGCAGAAUAUGAGGUUAG
rnacentral:lncRNA from 1 species